CCUUGAGUGAUCACAGUUUUUGAGAAUCACGAUGAGGCAUUAAAGAGGAGGAGUGUCCCAAGGGAGAUGAGCUGGAGGCGAAGCAAGCACAAUAAAGAUGUUUUCAUGGAUCUGAAAAUGUGGGAAUGAUUAUAGAAGGACUUCUGGAAAAAUCACUCAGGACUGAUUCCUUAGGGUCCCUCCUCACCUUUUGGCCCAACCAUCUCUGGAUGCAGUAAGUUGGAAGUUAAAAAAACUGGAAAGUCCAAAGGAGCAGAAUGAAGAGGUUGUGCUUCACAUGAGACUAAGAGGGUAGUCCCAAGUCUGAUAAGGGAGGAAGUGUAGGCCUAGGAUGGGGAGACACAGCUGGAGAAAGAUCACUGAUUGUAUCUGCAGGUUCUCCUUUUGUUCUGCCCACCAGAGAGCUUCUUUAUUUUCUCUAUGGUUCACUGUGGUGAAAGCACAAUAAUACUGGGCUGAGUCCUCCUGUUUUAAUCUGUUGAUCUAUUGGUUUGUAGACACAACUAAUUUUUGAUGUUAUUCCUGGUGAUAACAAAUCUCUCCAGGGAAGAUGUGUAAUGCUUAACAUUCCCCAAAGGACUAAUUUUGGAAACAUGUUCACAUGGUCUUUCUGGAGCUUGGCUGUACCAGUUCAUCCAGAGGAGUCCAAACUUAAAGCCAGAGGUGUUGCAGGUGAUCAUCAGGGAGUCCCUAGCACUUCUCAUGAUCCUUCUCCCCGCAAAUCCACUGGCUGAUUCAGUGACUGAACCUCUGGAGAAGAGAAAGAAUUGAUAAAACUUGUAAGAGACAGACAUUACAUACCUCCAAACUGAUGACUCCCGCAUGACCAUAGAGAAACAGCACAAGGAAGGUCAGCCUGGGCAGACAGCACAUGCUAGACACUGAGGGUGGAAAAGUGAUCACAGACACAGAAGAGGCAGUUUGGUCUUUUUGAAUGCAAACCAUAAGGGUAGUCCUAUGGGCACCCAAUAGGAAAUAGUUCUGCCCUCCUUGCAUAGACUCCUUCUAUAGAAUAGAGCCUACUGCAGUCAGAAAGGACUCUGGGAAGGUACUGGAUGCACUCUUACCCACAGACAUGAUUUUUAAAAAGCUUUCAAUAAUAGUGUUGUUAAUAAUUUUCAUUUUCAAUAUUUCAUUUUUAACUUAUUUUUGCUGAAAUUUCAGAAUGUUUUCUCUUUUUCUCUGCUCAUCUGUAAUGGGGACGACUGAUUACAGUUAUCAAGGGUAAGAACUGGAAGGACCCUCAGGCUGUCUCAGUUCCAGCUUUUUCACCAUAUAAAUGAGUCUGUGGAGGUGAAGUGAUGGGCUCAAGUUCUCACAGCGCAGAACUAGGUUUUGAACACAGGUUCCAGUGGGUUUCUUUUCUAUUGUGUAAUAACUCGUUACAUGCCACAACUCAACAUUGUCUAAUUUCUCCUAAUUCAGGGUACUUGGAAACAUACCAGGCCUAUGACCCUGUGGGAGAGGCUGACUGGUGCCAAGUAUAAUAAUACUAGAGGCCUGAUGCAUGAAAUUCGUGCAAGGGGCUCGGCCCUCCCAGCCCCAGCUUCGUCCUGAAGGAUGUCCGGAAGAACAUUUGGCUGUCUGGUCUAAUUAGCAUAUUACCCUUUUAUUAUUAUAGACUAGAGGCCCGGUGCACAAAAAUUUGUGCACUUGGGGGAGAGGAGGGGUCCCUCAGCCUGGCCUGUGCCCUCUCGCAGUCUGGGACCCCUCAGG